UCCCUGGUAGCUUAGUCAGUAAAGAAUCUGCCUGCAAUGUGGGAGACCCAGGUUUGAUUCCUGGAUAAGGAA
rfam:TPA: Bos taurus chromosome 3, whole genome shotgun sequence.